rnacentral:pre_miRNA from 7 species
AUGGAGUCAUCGGGUGUAACAGCAACUCCAUGUGGACUGUGCUCGGAUUCCAGUGGAGCUGCUGUUACUUCUGAUGGCCUCCAA